rnacentral:rRNA from 1 species
CAGUCGCCGCGGGAAUACGGAGGGGGCUAGCGUUGUUCGGAAUUACUGGGCGUAAAGCGCACGUAGGCGGACCGGAAAGUCAGAGGUGAAAUCCCAGGGCUCAACCUUGGAACUGCCUUUGAAACUCCUGGUCUUGAGGUCGAGAGAGGUGAGUGGAAUUCCGAGUGUAGAGGUGAAAUUCGUAGAUAUUCGGAGGAACACCAGUGGCGAAGGCGGCUCACUGGCUCGAUACUGACGCUGAGGUGCGAAAGCGUGGGGAGCAAACAGGAUUAGAGACCCCAGUAGUCCCUGUCUCUUAUAC